rnacentral:rRNA from 1 species
UACGUAGGGCGCAAGCGUUGUCCGGAAUUAUUGGGCGUAAUGAGCUCGUAGGCGGUUUGUCGCGUCUGCUGUGAAAACCUAAGGCUCAACCUUGGGCUUGCAGUGGGUACGGGCAGACUAGAGUGCGGUAGGGGUGACUGGAAUUCCUGGUGUAGCGGUGGAAUGCGCAGAUAUCAGGAGGAACACCGAUGGCGAAGGCAGGUCACUGGGCCGCAACUGACGCUGAGGAGCGAAAGCAUGGGGAGCGAACAGG